GUGGGGAAUAUUGGACAAUGGGGGGAACCCUGAUCCAGCCAUGCCGCGUGUGUGAAGAAGACCUUUUGGUUGUAAAGCACUUUAAGCGAGGAGGAGGCUACCGAGAUUAAUACUCUUGGAUAGUGGACGUUACUCGCAGAAUAAGCACCGGCUAACUCUGUGCCAGCAGCCGCGGUAAUACAGAGGGUGCAAGCGUUAAUCGGAUUUACUGGGCGUAAAGCGCGCGUAGGUGGCCAAUUAAGUCAAAUGUGAAAUCCCCGAGCUUAACUUGGGAAUUGCAUUCGAUACUGGUUGGCUAGAGUAUGGGAGAGGAUGGUAGAAUUCCAGGUGUAGCGGUGAAAUGCGUAGAGAUCUGGAGGAAUACCGAUGGCGAAGGCAGCCAUCUGGCCUAAUACUGACACUGAGGUGCGAAAGCAUGGGGAGCAAACAGGAUUAGAUACCCCAGUAGUCC
rnacentral:rRNA from 1 species